AGAGAGAGACAUGCGCGCAUAUCAAUAAGCGGAGGAAAAGAAACUAACAAGGAUUCCCUUAGUAACGGCGAGUGAAGCGGGAAGAGCUCAAAUUUGGAAAUCUUCAAGGUUUUACCUUGACGAAUUGUAGUUUAAAGAAGUGUUUUCUGCUGAAGUUUUGGUAAAAGUUCUUUGGAAUAGGACAUCAUAGAGGGUGAGAAUCCCGUAUUUGACCAUUAUUUUCAGCUUUGUGAUACACUUUCAAAGAGUCGGAUUGUUUGGGAAUGCAGUCCAAAAUGGGUGGUAAAUUUCAUCUAAAGCUAAAUAUUGGCGAGAGACCGAUAGCGAACAAGUACCGUGAGGGAAAGAUGAAAAGAACUUUGAAAAGAGAGUUAAACAGUACGUGAAAUUGUCAAAAGGGAAGCGUUUGACACCAGUGUUGUUUUCUCGAAAAUCAAUUAAAAAUGGCUCGAUUUUGUAUUGCUUGAGACCUUAAAAGCUCACUGUACAUUUUUCGUGUCUUUUUUAAUGCACUUUUCGUUUAACAAGUCAACAUCAGUUUCUUUUGUUGUAAAAGGGUCAUUGGAAGGUGGCUUUCUUUUCGGAGAAAGUGUUUAUAGCCUUUGGCCUCUGCAAUCGAAGAGACUGAGGUCUGCAGCGUAGACUCUUCGGGGUUAGAUACAUUUGUGCUAAGUUAUCAGCUUUUUAUAGACAACUUGUUGACUAUAAUUAGUCUUGUAGCUUACUCGCUUAUGCUAUUUUACCUACGCUUAGGAUGUUGAAGAUGUAGCACAUCAU
rnacentral:rRNA from 1 species